GUUCCCAUGUUUGAGGAAGCAUUUGGUGUUGCUGUGCAAAGUGUUGCUGCAGUGGAGGUUCAAGGUUACUGUUUAUUGAUAUGGAUCCCAUCAUACUUUGUUCAUUGUUUGUUCAGGAGUUUGCCCUAAGUCUCCGUGUUUGAGGGCCUAUUCUGUGGAUAUGUUUAUUUGCACUUUUAUUGAUG